rnacentral:rRNA from 1 species
UACGGAGGAUCCAAGCGUUAUCCGGAAUUACUGGGCGUAAAGAGUUGCGUAGGUGGCAUGUAAAGCAGAUAGUGAAAGCGUGUGGCUCAACCAUACAUCCAUUAUCUGAACUCACAAGCUAGAGGACGAGAGAGGUAGAUGGAAUUCCUAGUGUAGGGGUAAUAUCCGUAGAUAUUAGGAGGAACACCGAUGGCGUAAGCAGUCUACUGGCUCGUUUCUGACACUCAGGCACGAAAGCGUGGGGAGCAAACGGG